AUGCGUUAAUCGAAGAAAUCGUCAAAAGUUAGCGCAAUUCGCUGGAAUAUUUAGUGCACCGUUCCCAAAUAUCGUUCCUUCAAUGAGAUUGCAACAGCGCAGGCACAAGCGAAACGCAAUUUUUGCAACAAACGCCAAUGCCCAGCAACGUUACUUCUAGUUGCAUUCAUCCUGCAUGGGACCAGGCUUUUACAGGCGCAUCGGUGUAAUUUAAGUGCCGCUGGGACACUCUUGCGCGCUCGAGUGCACUAUACCAUUCUGCAUUAACCUAAAAAGGGUUUCUCCGGCUCACUGGCAACUCUUGCCACUUACACCAAGCCUGUACCGCCUGAUGUAGCUACUGUGUUGGCCCCACGAUGUCGUAAACGAGCAGCCGUUUAAGGCCGAUACACGCGUCACCCCCUUCGAUUCCGAUCGAACCCAACUAAACCGGUGUCCAACUACGAGCAUCUACUGCGGAUGUCAUUUGUUAGUUGUACUUGACUCGCUUCCGGUGCUGUUUUCUUCUUUCGUUUUCUGUAUUUUCUUUUAUAGAAUUUGUUACUCGAUAGUACUCGUAUGGAUCUUCUUUGUUUGAUCCUUGUAAUUGUACAUGAACAGUUCUAUUUUAUCGACUAUGUGUUACCUCCUCAUUUAUUUUUCUCUGUUCUCUUUUUUAUUUCGAGGAACAACAAAUUUCCAACCAUACGCGUACAAACGUGAGCAACGAUACGAAUUGCGCCGCAUUUUUAUGAAAAAACCAUUUUGCUGUCUGAAAAGUUUCAAGCUCUUGCCUCAGAGCAAUCGCGCAUCAAUCUGCCGAGCUUUUGUUGUUGCCGAAACGAAUAAGCGCGCGAACGCGUCUGGACUCUACUCGUCCAUCCGGACAACGUCGCGAGGCCCUGAAACUAUAAAAAUACCAUUCGCCCGGAUCAACCAUUGUUGUCUGGUCCGGCACGGUCCAUGAAACUCUGUCGCUAGUCCACGGAAUGAUGUAUCAACGACGAUCGCUGAAAGCGUAAAUGGGGAUUUCAUCCUUUCAAUAUUGCCACUGACGCGCGAUCACGCCGCUGCAGAGAUCCCUUUUGUGCGCUAUACGAAUUGCCUCGAAUGCUUGCUGAUCGCAGGAGAAAAGAUUCAGCGGAUUAUUUCAAUUUUCGCGUUGAACACCGAUACCGUUGUUAUAUCUGUCGUGAUUGAAUCGGAUCAUGAAUACUGAUCUUUGAACGUUUGCAGAUCCACACGGUGUAUAUGAGAGUAUAAAAUUGUAUUCC